AUCCAGCUGACGAAUCCUAAAUAGAACGAAACGCAUGUCCUGGAU
rnacentral:hammerhead_ribozyme from 1 species